rnacentral:lncRNA from 1 species
UUUGUAUGGCAGUUCUGUUUUCACUCUAUUAAAUCUUGCAACUGCACACUCCUCUGGUCCCUGUUUGUUAUGUCUCAAGCUGAGGUUUCGCUAGCCGUCCACCACUGCUAUUUGCUGCCGUGGCAGACCUGCUGCUGACUUCCACCCCUCUGGAUCCGGAAGGGAGUCUGCUGUACUCCUGAUCCAGCAAGGUGCCCAUUGCUACUCCUGAUCGGACUAAAGGCUUGCCAUUGUUCCUGCACAGCUAAGUGUCCGGGUUCAUCCUAAUUGAGCUGAACACUAGUCGCUGGGUUCCACCAUUCUCUUCCAUGACCCGCGGCUUCUAAUAGAGCUAUAACACUCACCGCAUGGCCCAAGAUUCCAUUCCUUGGAAUCCAUGAGGCCAAGAACCCCAGGUCAGAGAACAAGAGGCUUGCUACCAUCUUGGAAGCGGCCCGCCACCAUCUUGGGAGCUCUGGGAGCAAGCACCUCCGUUAUAUGGAGUACAUGAGUGAAAGAAUGUGCUGCACACCUUCUGUAUGGCUUUGUGAAAGUCACGUAACUUCUUUGGAACUUAGCUUCUUUAUCUGUAAAGGGUAGGUAGGUGUUGGACUUAAUCAACAUCUCCCAAUGACAAUCCAGACCCAGGAGGGAACAAUAUCCGGGUUUUGACUUUAUUUCUUCCCAUUCAUUAGCAAGGAGCUGGGGCUCAGCUCAUUUGUUUCUAUCUCUCCUUCUCUCCUAUACUUCUGAUGUCCGCAAUAAAAAUUUUAGAUAUCAUUCAGAUAUUUGCUGGAAAAAAUCUAGGUGGUUUCUAUGGUCCCUUUUGUUAUGUAGUAUUCCAAAAUCUAU